rnacentral:ncRNA from 1 species
CGGUAUAUAAACAAUAUGGGAGACCUCACCCAGGUUUCCCAUGAACGGGACUGACAGAUUGAGAGCUCUUUCUGGGUUCUGUGGGUGGUGGCGCGUGGCUGUUCUUAGUUGGUGGAGCAAUUUGUCUGGCUAAUUCCGAUAACGAAUGAAGACUCUGGCAUGUUAAGUAGUCAAGUGAUCAAUGUCCAGCUUCUCACAGGGACAAGUGGCAUUCACUCACCCAAGACUGAGUAAUAACUCAAUAAUGAUUUGAGAAAAGGAGGCUGAGGGGAGACCUCAUUGCUCUCUACAACAACCUAAAAGGGGUUGUAGCGAGGUGGAGGUUGGUCACUCCUCCCUGGAAGCCAGUGACAUGACAAGGGAAAAUGCCUUCAAGAUGCACCAGGGGAGAUUAAGUUUGGAUAUUAGGAGUAAUUUCUUUACUGAAAAGGUUGUCAACUGGCUGCCCAGGGAGUUGCUUGAGUCACCAUCCCUGGACGUGUUUAAAAGACAAGUAGAUGUCAUACUUGGGGACGCGGUCUAGUGGCAGACUUAGCAGGGCUGGAUCGAUGGUUAGAUUUGAAGAUCUUCAUGGUCCCUUCCAACUAAAACUGUAAUUCUGUAAUUACAGAUUACUGUAAUUCUAUAACGGGUCAGUGAUGCCCUUAAAUGUCCAGGGGCGCACACAUACCAGACUGUCUGGCUCAGCUUGUGCCCAACCUCUGCCAGCAGGUGCAGGUAACCCACUGAACCCCAUUCAUGGUGGGGAUCAGGGACUGCAGUUCUUCCCCUUGAAUGA